UACGUAGGGGGCGAGCGUUGUCCGGAAUCAUUGGGCGUAAAGCGCGUGUAGGCGGUCCGGUAAGUCCGCUGUGAAAGUCGGGGGCUCAACCCUGGAAAGCCGGUGGAUACUGUCGGGCUAGAGUCCGGAAGAGGCGAGUGGAAUUCCUGGUGUAGCGGUGAAAUGCGUAGAUAUCUGGAGGAACACCGGUGGCGAAGGCGGCAUUCUGGACCGAAACUGACGCUGAGGCGCGAAAGCCAGGGGAGCAAACGGG
rnacentral:rRNA from 1 species